rnacentral:ncRNA from 1 species
UGCAAUGUUAAAAGAGGACUUCGGCUUUAUUUAUUUAUGUAGGAACUGAAAUAAUGGUUAGGAAGCACAGUUCGGGGGCAUUCGUAUCCCUGCGCGAGAGGCGAAAUUCGUGAACCAUAAGGAACGCCCUAAAGCGAAAGCAUUUUCCAACAAUAUCUUCAUC